rnacentral:rRNA from 1 species
AAGACCUUGCGCUUUUGGAGCGGCCGAUGCCUGAUUAGCUUGUUGGUAAGGUAAAAGCUUACCAAGGCUUCGAUCAGUARCUGGUSUGAGAGGACGACCAGCCACACUGGGASUGAGACACGGCCCAGACUCCUACGGGAGGCAGCAGUGGGGAAUUUUGGACAAUGGGGGCAACCCUGAUCCAGCCAUGCCGCGUGAGUGAAGAAGGCCUUCGGGUUGUAAAGCUCUUUCAGCCGGAACGAAACGGUUACGGUUAACACCCGUGACUACUGACGGUACCGGAAGAAGAAGCACCGGCUAACUACGUGCCAGCAGCCGCGGUAAUACGUAGGGUGCGAGCGUUAAUCGGAAUUACUGGGCGUAAAGCGUGCGCAGGUGGUUUUGUAAGUCAGAUGUGAAAGCCCCGGGCUCAACCUGGGAACU